rnacentral:rRNA from 1 species
UACAGAGGUCUCAAGCGUUGUUCGGAUUCAUUGGGCGUAAAGCGCGUGUAGGCGGUCCGGUAAGUCCGCUGUGAAAGUCGGGGGCUCAACCCUCGGAUGCCGGUGGAUACUGUCGGGCUUGAGUACGGAAGAGGUGAGUGGAAUUCCUGGUGUAGCGGUGAAAUGCGUAGAUAUCAGGAGGAACACCAGUGGCGAAGGCGGCUCACUGGCCCGAUACUGACGCUGAGGCACGAAAGCGUGGGGAGCAAACAGG